rnacentral:rRNA from 1 species
CCUACGGGUGGCAGCAGUGAGGAAUAUUGGUCAAUGGACGAGAGUCUGAACCAGCCAAGUAGCGUGAAGGAUGACUGCCCUAUGGGUUGUAAACUUCUUUUAUAUGGGAAUAAAAUGUUCCACGUGUGGGAUUUUGUAUGUACCAUAUGAAUAAGGAUCGGCUAACUCCGUGCCAGCAGCCGCGGUAAUACGGAGAAUCCGAGCGUUAUCCGGAUUUAUUGGGUUUAAAGGGAGCGUAGGUGGAUUGUUAAGUCAGUUGUGAAAGUUUGCGGCUCAACCGUAAAAUUGCAGUUGAAACUGGCAGUCUUGAGUACAGUAGAGGUGGGCGGAAUUCGUGGUGUAGCGGUGAAAUGCUUAGAUAUCACGAAGAACUCCGAUUGCGAAGGCAGUUCACUGGACUGCAACUGACACUGAGGCUCGAAAGUGUGGGUAUCAAACAGGAUUAGAUACCCUAGUAGUC